GGGGAAUUUUGGACAAUGGGGGAAACCCUGAUCCGGCAAUGCCGCGUGCGGGAAGAAGGCCUUCGGGUUGUAAACCGCUUUUGUCAGGGAAGAAAUCCUCUGAGCUAAUAUCUCGGGGGGAUGACGGUACCUGAAGAAUAAGCACCGGCUAACUACGUGCCAGCAGCCGCGGUAAUACGUAGGGUGCGAGCGUUAAUCGGAAUUACUGGGCGUAAAGCGUGCGCAGGCGGUGAUGUAAGACAGAUGUGAAAUCCCCGGGCUUAACCUGGGAAUUGCAUUUGUGACUGCAUCGCUUGAGUGCGGCAGAGGGAGAUGGAAUUCCGCGUGUAGCAGUGAAAUGCGUAGAUAUGCGGAGGAACACCGAUGGCGAAGGCAGUCUCCUGGGCCUGCACUGACGCUCAUGCACGAAAGCGUGGGGAGCAAAC
rnacentral:rRNA from 1 species